UAACAAUCCGGAAACGGGUGCUAAUACCGCCAUAGUUUUCUUGAUCGCAUGAUUGAGAAAGGAAAGACGGCCUUUGUGCUGUCGCUUAUGGAUGGACCCGCGGCGUAUUAGUUAGUUGGUGAGGUAACGGCUCACCAAGACGAUGAUACGUAGCCGACCUGAGAGGGUGAUCGGCCACAUUGGGACUGAGACACGGCCCAAACUCCUACGGGAGGCAGCAGUAGGGAAUCUUCCGCAAUGGACGAAAGUCUGACGGAGCAACGCCGCGUGAGUGAAGAAAGGUUUUCGGAUCGUAAAACUCUGUUGUCAGAGAAGAACAAGUUGGAGAGUAACUGCUCCAGCCUUGACGGUAUCUGACCAGAAAGCCACGGCUAACUACGUGCCAGCCGCCGC
rnacentral:rRNA from 1 species